CUUCUUGCACUGUCUUAGAUUCCUGCGCCACUCGGGAGCCCAAGACUUACCAUUAUGCCCAUUCAAUGUACAUGUAUAUUAUUCUGAGUAGCCCAACUUGAUUGUGCCUUUUGAUUCCUUUCAACUCUGAUUUAAUCCCUGUGCUGUUUUUAUAAUACAUUAUUCGAUUGGCACAAUAUAUUCCAGUCUGGCAGUGGUUUAUCUAUGUAAUUACAUUGUAUGUACAUUGAUGGGCUGUACUGUAGUAAUGCACAGGGAACAGACUACAGUACUAUUGUCUCCUGAACCAAUCUAACAUCAUCACCAAUUCAGACUGGUUUUCUGUCCAGAACAACAUUGGUGCAUUAUACUAUGAUUCUGGACUGAUGUCAUUCAUUUAUUGAUCAAGUUAUCUAAAGCACACAACUGCUACUCAACCAAACUAUAUAGACAACAAUCUUUAUCUGAGUUGAGUGAACCUUUUUCACUGUUACUGCUCACUUUUUCAGGGAAAGGCUCAAACACAGGGAUAGCUUUUUGUGUUUUAUUUAACUAGGCAAGUCAGUUAAGAACAAAUUCUUAUUUACAAUGACAGCCUAGGAACAGUGGGUUAACUGCCUUGUUCAGUGGGAGAACAACAGAUGUUUUACUUGACAGUUCAGGGAUUUGAUCCAGCAACCUUUCAGUUACUGACCAAACACUCUAACCACUGGGCUACCUGCAGUUUGUAUGUUUUACACAGACUGUUUAAAUAAUGAACCUGGAAUGUCUUGCCAGUCAGGUACUGUGUUUUAUGUUUGUCCUAGAUGUACUGUAAAAGGCCCAGACCCUCUCUGUGCUGUGUGAAUACACAGGUUGGCAUUUUUUGGGAUGACUUAUGUACUGGAGGCAGCUCUGCAGGGUAGUCACUAGCUGGCACAGCCACAAUGUCAUAAAAUCCGAUUUUAAACCUAACCUUAACCGAACUGCUAACCUUAUGCUUAAUCUUAAGGUUAAGCAAAAAAAAACAUAUUUUUGUUUUCAUUAAUUUUUUACAAUGUAUAGCCAGUUUUGACUUUGCCGCUGGCCCAUUAGUAGAAAUCACUCAGCUCUGCCUCCAGGACAAGAUACUUCCACCAGAGAUAAAGGCACUGACUUUGCUCCAUCCUCAUGGGGCCCAGGAUCAGCAAGCUGCACCAGGGAGGGUCUACUCCAACUACCAGCGACAGCAUGGAGAACAGACUCCUACUCCAGGCCUCUGUGCUGCCUAAGGCCGUCUCUGUGACCUCAUGUGCAUCACUGCCCUCCUCCUGCCAGUCUCUCCAGCCCUGCAGGCUAACAUCAACUACAUCCUCCUCUCCCCCACCGCCUCCUCCUCCCUCACCUCUCCACUCCUAAGCACAGAGAACCAAUUCUUAAAGAGAGGUUCACUCCUCUUCACUCAUUCCUCCUCUCUUCCCUCUCGGUCCUUUGUCCUCUUCAUCCCUACCACCCUCUAGUGGUGUCCUGCCUCCUACUGGUCUUCCUCCUCCUCCUGUUCUGGAUGAAUAAUGGGAGGAUGAGGAAGGCGGUCUGCCUGUAAGGACGUGCUGUCUUACUCUGAAGAGAUUUGUGUGGUAUGUGGCCCCAUAAGCCCAUCCCUUUCUUUCAGUCUGUUUUUUUUGUGGUGUAGUUUAUCCAAGGUCCAUUCCAAUACAGUCAAUCUUUGAAAUAAAAUACAUUUGUGAUGCUCAAUUUAUUGGUUAAGUGAUUCUGAGUCCAUAUGUUUCUCUGACAAUGUAAGUUAAUGGCAGUAUACAGAAUGUGUUCUUCUUCCUCAUGACAUGUCAGGAUUUUGACCAGGACAGCCUCAUGGCUGAGGAGAUUGAGGUGUCCACAGAGAUGCAUGUUCUGGACAAGGUAUUGGAUGAAGAGGAGCUGGACCAAAACAUGUCAAUUGGGGAACAGGAGUUUGGUGAGAUAGAGAGGGGAAAAGAUGAACUGAAAGACAAAAAGGUGAGGGAGGAGAUUCUGCAUUUAUCUCUCACAAAAAACAUCAAGUUGAACCUCAAAACCUUUCUCUCUCCCCUUUACUGCUCUCGCUUUCUACCCCUCUAUUCCUUUUCCUCACCCUUUCCCUUCCAUCAUCAGUACAUGGUAAAGGCUCUGCCAGAUGGCCUGACUGUGGAUGGAGCAAGGCUUCUGUUUGGCCGAGCCCCGAAACAGAAUGACACUGGAGUUUAUGAAUAUGUGGCGAACAACGGCGUUGGGACAAGGAAAGUAGAACAUAACAUCACAGUUACAGGUAACGAGUGGAGGACAGAGGAGCCUCUUAAAGAAGAAGUUACAGGUUAGAAAUCAACACUCUCCAGACAGGCCUCCUCCUCAAGACUCAACUCUUCCAGCACAGAUCCCAGACGACAGAAUGAAGACUGUACACUUCUCAGACUAGACAGUAGAAUGAAGAAAAAAAAGCCUUAUGUCCCUUGAGGACCAUCCCAUCUACAAAGGCAGUCAAUCCACCCUUGGUGGGAAGUGGGGGACGGUUCGUGAGGGUGAUUUGGACUACCUAGGCCGCCCUGUCCUGUACCAAUCUAGCUAGUGCGAGUGCAGAGAGA